AUUGAACGCUGGCGGCAGGCCUAACACAUGCAAGUCGAACGAGUGGCGGACGGGUGAGUAAUGUCUGGGAAACUGCCUGAUGGCGGGGGAUAACUACUGGCAACGGUAGCUAAUACCACCUACCAUCAGAUGUGCCCAGAUGGGAUUAGCUUGGUGGUGGGGUAACGUCUCACCAAGGCGACGAUCCCUCGCUGGUCUGAGAGGAUGACCAGACACACUGGAACUGAGACACGGUCCAGACGCGUACGGGAUGCAGCAGGUGGGAAUAUUGCACAAUGGGCGCAAGCCUGAUGCAGCCAUGCCGCGUGUAUGAAGAAGGCCUUCGGGUUUUAAAGUACUUUCAGCGGGGAGGCGUUACCCGCAGAAGAAGCACCGGCUAACUCCGUGCCAGCAGCCGCGGUAAUAC
rnacentral:rRNA from 1 species